AUUGAACGCUGGCGGCAUGCCUUACACAUGCAAGUCGAACGGUAACAGGUCUUCGGAUGCUGACGAGUGGCGAACGGGUGAGUAAUACAUCGGAACGUGCCUAGUUGUGGGGGAUAACUACUCGAAAGAGUGGCUAAUACCGCAUGAGAUCUACGGAUGAAAGCAGGGGAUCUCAAGACCUUGUGCUACUAGAGCGGCCGAUGGCAGAUUAGGUAGGUGGGGGGAUAAAAGCUUACCAAGCCGACGAUCUGUAGCUGGUCUGAGGGGACGAUUAGCCACACUGGGACUGAGACACGGCCCAGACUCCUACGGGAGGCAGCAGUGGGGAAUUUUGGACAAUGGGCGAAAGCCUGAUCCAGCAAUGCCGCGUGCAGGAUGAAGGCCUUCGGGUUGUAAACUGCUUUUGUACGGAACGAAAAGCCCCGGGUUAAUACCCUGGGGUCAUGACGGUACCGUAAGAAUAAGCACCGGCUAACUACGUGCCAGCCGCCGCGGUAA
rnacentral:rRNA from 1 species